rnacentral:rRNA from 2 species
UUGCCUAGCGCAUGCUACACUGCAGUCGUACGAACUCUGGUAUUGAUUGGUGCUUGCAUCAUGAUUUACAUUUGAGUGAGUGGCGAACUGGUGAGUAACACGUGGGAAACCUGCCCAGAAACGGGGGAUAACACCUGGAAACAGAUGCUAAUACCGCAUAACAACUUGGACCGCAUGGUCCGAGUUUGAAAGAUGGCUUCGGCUAUCACUUUUGGAUGGUCCCGCGGCGUAUUAGCUAGAUGGUGGGGUAACGGCUCACCAUGGCAAUGAUACGUAGCCGACCUGAGAGGGUAAUCGGCCACAUUGGGACUGAGACACGGCCCAAACUCCUACGGGAGGCAGCAGUAGGGAAUCUUCCACAAUGGACGAAAGUCUGAUGGAGCAACGCCGCGUGAGUGAAGAAGGGUUUCGGCUCGUAAAACUCUGUUGUUAAAGAAGAACAUAUCUGAUAGUAACUGUUCAGGUAUUGACGGUAUUUAACCAGAAAGCCACGGCUAACUACGUGCCAGCAUCCGCGGUAAUACGUAGGUGGCAAGCGUUGUCCGGAUUUAAUGAGCCUAAAGCGAGCGCAGCGUGUUUUGUAACUCCGAAGU